UGUGUGUGUGUGUGUGUCUUGAAGUCUUGUAUAGAAUCUUACAAGCUACAACAAGGUUCGAAACUUAAGUAACAGUGGAUUAAUGAAACAUCUCAUAAAACACUAUGAUGACUCGUCAGUAAAACCAUGAUUUUUCCCCAAUUUGUGCACAUAACAAUGAUCUAUGCAAUGGGACUCAUCUUAUGCAUGGGUCAGCUGUCCCACAUACAUGCAAUGUUGAAGGUGAGCAAAACUGAGCAAGUUGGCCUAUUGUUUUUAAGCAAACACAUUUUAGUAAAUAUUUGGUCCUUGUCAUGUCUAAUAUGAUUUUAGAUUUAAAUUUUUUUCAUCAGGUUAUGAAGGCAGAAAUCGGAGGAUGAGUAGUGGCAGCCCUCAUCCUGCUGAAAGUGCUAGUAUUAAUAAGUCUUCAUACUCCUUCCAGAAAGUUGUUUACUCUUUGAAUGACAAUGACAGUCACAUCCCAUAUCGACAGACCAAACUCACUCACAUGUUGCAAGAUUCCAUAGGCGGAACAGGCCAAGCGUUGAUGAUUGCUUGUUUGGUGAGAGUUUUUGUUAUUGUAUUAUUAGGAUUUUCUGAUUUUUCUUAAAUUCUUUCUGUACCUUAUUGUUUUCAAUUCAAAUUGGGGAGUGGAUAUGACAGUUGAACACUUAUAUCUUGGUUAUGAGGCAAUCCAUCUCUUUGCACGUGGCACGCAUGCACAAAUCCAAGCCGUUCAUUUAUUAGAUUACCAUGAAUUACAACAACUGGAUGAUUUUAGUUACUAAUAAAGAUGUUCUUUCUUACCUGUCGGAUGCUAACUGUUGGUUAAAUUUCCUUUAAAACAUCCAUUUUUAAUAAUUGAAAUUCCUCCAACCAGUGUGGCUAAGAUCCAGCUAAUUUAUUUUUAAAUAAUAAAAAAAUAUAUAUAUUAAUACAAUCCAUCACUGCAACUACAAGCAUGUGUGAGCUUAGCAAACCUCAGCCAAAGCUUAUUCUCUGGUCCAAGAAUCAGGCCAGUCACAUAUCAGGUUUCUGUAUGCACAAUAUAAGAGCAAGUGCCAGCUGAAGGAAGAACCGAGCAAGGAUUUCACAAGACCUUUGCAUGCCCCCCAAAAAAAUCAGCCAUAGAAUACAUUGCUUUUGAGGACCAUUCCUGGCUUGAAUGAACUUGUCAAGGCUUUAUUAGGAAGUGGAGACUGGCUUAAUGGAUGGCGGUCUAGGAAAAAUAGAGGUUUUUCCAGACCGCUUUGUAGCUUCAACACCAGAAAAGGAUUGUCUUCAGAAAGAGAGUUCAACAAAUUCACAACCAAGGACAGACUACUCUUCUAGGUCUCAUAGUCGUUUGUGGGCUAGAAGGAGAUUAGUGAGUGCCUCAGCUAUGCUGAACUUGUUUAGUCCAUGGAGAUCUGGCAGCAACAGUGACAAGGUUGAACUAACUGUUGCAGAACUAGAAUCUCUUUGUUCAGAAAUUGUUGCUGCAGAAGAGAGAGAAGUUCAUCUGAAAGCCCAGUAAGAUCAACUGGAUGGGUUGUUUUCUGUUUCUUCCAUUUGUCCAUCUUUUACUGUUGGUUUUAUGCUCUCUGUCGUGCAUAUAUGGUUCUUAUGAGGAAUCGGUAUGUAUGUUUAGUCAUGCUAUACUAAUAUGUCAAAGAAGGUUUCAAAAUGGAACAAAAAGGAAGCUGGGAGAAUACUUUCCUAGCUUGUGCUGUUUUCUUACUUUUGUUAUCAGGCUGUCGUAAUUGGUGGUUGCCAUGUGUGAGCCAGUUUGCUGCUGUGACCUGUACUUCUGAUCUGGUGGUAACCCUCCGUUGAUAGUGUGAGAGAUGCAGAUCAAUACGAUUUCACGAAUUCUGAAAAAGCAGCAGUAGUUACCAAGGAAGUUGUGAAGAUGACUGAAAUAACAAAGCAUCUCACGGUAAGGGAUUUUAUUAUUAAAUCUUAAACGAUACUGCAUUUACCUGGAAUUCUUACUGAAAUCACUCCAAGCCAUUUGGUUUUUGGGUCUUUCCUUAUCUCUUAAGAAUCCAAAUUGCAGAAAUUCUCAAUUCCAGGAGCUAAAAAUCUCCAUCUUUGAUUGACAGGAAUCCAAGAAGCCCAUUUGUCAUUACCGGCACACUAAAAAAAUGGAUUACUUGUUGGAAGAAGUUUUGGGAUACGUAGCUGUAUUAGGGAAGCUGAAUGUUGGAAAGAGUACACUAUCAAACCAGAUGAUAGGCCAGAAGCUUUCAAUUGUUACAGAUAAACCUCAAACAACGCACCAUCGAAUCCUUGGUAUUUGUUCUGGCCCUGAGUAUCAGUUUGCAGAUGAUACUCUAUGAUACACCUGGUGUUAUUGAGAAGAAAUGCACAAGUUGGAUUCUAUGAUGAUGAAAAAUGUCCGCAGUGCUGCUAUUAAUGCUGACUGUGUUCUGGUAGUUGUUGAUGCAUGCAAGGUACCCCAGCAGAUAAUCAACUAUUGGAUCGGCUUUUUGUGCUGCAUUGAUGGGGCCACUAGAAGCUAAGCUAACAGCUAGGUACGAGAAUCUCCCUAUUGCAUUAAUAGUAACUCAAGGACAGGCAAUAAUGAUGCUUCCUGUAUCAAAAAGAUCUAUAAAUAUUUUAAAUGUUUUAAACUAAUAAAAGGUUUAAUCUUUGGACUUGUUUUUAAAUACCUGAAUUGUACAAGUCAAGAGUGCUGGAGCUAUAUGCAAGUGAUGAUCGUGGGAUCAAUGUAGUCCGCAAUAAGAUCAAGGAUUUUGCAGCUGUAGCUGUAGGUUCUGGUAACCGCCAUGGGCAUGUUGCAAAUUUACAGUCCAAUUGUGGUUUGUGUAGUAAAUUUGCCUGUUCUAGAUUACAUACAAUUAUUCAUUUUCAUUUGCAUGCUUUCUCUUGUCAACACUAGGGGUUACCCUCAUCCACCGUUCAAGAUCAUUAUCCUAAAUGAGGCUGAUUCAAUGACUGAAGAUGCUCAGGUACUUGUAGACUGUACCCAUUCUUAGUUCUUGAAUCUGGACCAUUGAACUAUCUCCCAGGUUGAUAUUUAUAACCUAAUAAUCAUUGAACUAUCUCCAAUUGAAUCUGGACCAUUGCUGUAUUUUCUCAUUAACCAUCUAUUUGUAGGCCAAUGAAUAAAAAGGUUAGGAACUUCCAUUUAAGGAUUUGUAUAGUGUUCUCAAGUUGUCAGUUUAUACAAGUGGAGCCCAUGGUCCCAUGAUCUGAGCCGUUGGUUUGAUGGCCUGCUAUCAUGGAUCAUGACCCAUGAAAUCUCCUCAAUACGGCGAUUCAGAUGUUUCACUUUCUAGGCUGUAAAAUAGACGGUGAGGAUUUAUUUAUUUAUUUUUAUUGUAUUCGUGCAAUUGUAAACUUAUUGUUGUAAAUAUAUAUAAUUUUUAUUAUAAAGUUGUACUAUAUUUUUUCAAUAUUAAAUUUUAAUUGUAUAUAAUAUUCUUUGAUUUUUAAAUAUAAAAACAACUGUACAGCUUUUAUUGGCCAUUU